rnacentral:rRNA from 1 species
GAUGAACGCUGGCGGCGUGCUUAACACAUGCAAGUCGAACGGAAAGGCCCAAGCUUGCUUGGGUACUCGAGUGGCGAACGGGUGAGUAACACGUGGGUGAUCUGCCCUGCACUUCGGGAUAAGCCUGGGAAACUGGGUCUAAUACCGGAUAGGACCACUUCUUGGAUGUUGUGGUGGAGAGUUUUUUCGGUGUGGGAUGAGCUCGCGGCCUAUCAGCUUGUUGGUGGGGUAAUGGCCUACCAAGGCGUCGACGGGUAGCCGGCCUGAGAGGGUGUACGGCCACAUUGGGACUGAGAUACGGCCCAGACUCCUACGGGAGGCAGCAGUGGGGAAUAUUGCACAAUGGGCGCAAGCCUGAUGCAGCGACGCCGCGUGGGGGAGGACGGCCUUCGGGUUGUAAACUCCUUUCGCUAGGGACGAAGCGUUUUGUGACGGUACCUGGAGAAGAAGCACCGGCUAACUACGUG